rnacentral:rRNA from 1 species
GAAUUAUCUACUCCAUCCGACUAGUUCCGGGUUCGAGUCCCGGGCAACCCAUAUAGAAAAGACCCAUCAAAGUUUUUAACUUUGACUCACUUCAUUUACAAAUACAAAAUUAUUGGUUUGGUUAAUUUAGUUAUAUGGAUAGCUAAUCUUUGGGCUGACUUGGUUGACAUUGGUAUAUAGUCUAUGUUAUACUGUUAAAUAACAAGCCUUCUAUUAUCUAUAUUCUAGUUAAUACGUGUGCUUGGGAGUCCUUGCAAUUUGAAUAAACCAAGAUCUUACCAUGACUGCAAUUUUAGAGAGACGCGAAAGUACAAGCCUGUGGGGUCGCUUCUGCAACUGGAUAACUAGCACUGAAAAUCGUCUUUACAUCGGAUGGUUCGGUGUUUUGAUGAUCCCUACCUUAUUGACCGCAACUUCUGUAUUUAUUAUCGCCUUCAUC